CAUUACNCAAAUAUGAAGCCGGACUGGGAUAGGGCCUCGCUGCCUUGCCCGUCUGGCGCCAUAUUCACCCAUGUCUUUUUGCGUACUACUUGUUUCCUUGGCGGGUCCGCCCGCCAAUUGGACCUUAUUCAAACCUUUUUUUCAGUUGCAAUCAGCGUCAGCAAAACAAAUGUAAUCAAUUACAACUUUCAACAACGGAUCUCUUGGUUCUGGCAUCGAUGAAGAACGCAGCGAAAUGCGAUAAGUAGUGUGAAUUGCAGAAUUCAGUGAAUCAUCGAAUCUUUGAACGCACAUUGCGCCCUUUGGUAUUCCAAAGGGCAUGCCUGUUCGAGCGUCAUUUGUACCCUCAAGCUUUGCUUGGUGUUGGGCGUCUUGUCUCUCUCCCGAGACUCGCCUUAAAAUCAUUGGCAGCCGGCCUACUGGUUUCGGAGCGCAGCACAUUAUUUGCGCUCUUGUCCAGCCGCGGUCGCGCGUCCAUGAAGCUUCUUUCAACCUUUUGACCUCGGAUCANGUAGGNAUAC
rnacentral:rRNA from 1 species